rnacentral:rRNA from 1 species
GAUGAACGCUGGCUACAGGCUUAACACAUGCAAGUCGAGGGGAAACGACGGGGAAGCUUGCUUCCCCGGGCGUCGACCGGCGCACGGGUGAGUAACGCGUAUCCAACCUGCCUCUGACUGAGGGAUAACCCGUCGAAAGUCGGCCUAAUACCUCAUGGCAUCGUCUGCGGGCAUCCAACGACGAUUAAAGAUUUCAUCGGUCAGAGAUGGGGAUGCGUCUGAUUAGCUUGUUGGCGGGGUAACGGCCCACCAAGGCGACGAUCAGUAGGGGUUCUGAGAGGAAGGUCCCCCACAUUGGAACUGAGACACGGACCAAAAUGCUACGGGAGGCAGCAGUGAGGAAGAUUAGUCGAGGGGCGAGAGCCUGAACCAGCCAAGUAGCGUGCAGGAGGACGGCCCUAUGGGUUGUAAACUGCUUUUAUGCGGGGAUAAAGUGAGGGACGUGUCCUUCAUUGCAGGUACCGCAUGAAUAAGGACCGGCUAAUUCCGUG